AUGGCGAUGACCUCGUAGUGAUUCAUCAUCCAAUGGCUUCACAUUCAGAAACACUGUUCCACAGCUGGAUGCUCGCUCGCAAGGUCAGAUCAUUGGGAGUGUGCUUGAGUGUCGUCUCCAUUUGCUUGCCAUGGCAACAGUGAACGGUGGCAUGGCAGCCAGCAUACAGGCUUCAGGGACAAAACACCAUCUGACUCAGCCUGAUACGCCCCAAACUCUCGCUAUUGGCUGCACAGAGGUAUGCAAAUACAUUCAGUGCAGUGAACAUUUUACGGUCUUGAGGCUUCCACAGAAGAUAUAUUUAACAUUUUUUAUAGUUAGACCAC
rnacentral:lncRNA from 1 species